GACGCUGGCGGCGUGCCUAAUACAUGCAAGUCGAACGGUCUUUCUAUGGAAGCUUGCUUCCACUGAGAAGAUAGUGGCGAACGGGUGAGUAACACGUGGGUAACCUGCCCAUAAGAGGGGGAUAACAUCCGGAAACGGGUGCUAAUACCGCAUAGUUUUCUUGAUCGCAUGAUCGGGAAAGGAAAGACGGCCUUUGUGCUGUCGCUUAUGGAUGGACCCGCGGCGUAUUAGUUAGUUGGUGAGGUAACGGCUCACCAAGACGAUGAUACGUAGCCGACCUGAGAGGGUGAUCGGCCACAUUGGGACUGAGACACGGCCCAAACUCCUACGGGAGGCAGCAGUAGGGAAUCUUCCGCAAUGGACGAAAGUCUGACGGAGCAACGCCGCGUGAGUGAAGAAAGGUUUUCGGAUCGUAAAACUCUGUUGUCAGAGAAGAACAAGUUGGAGAGUAACUGCUCCAGCCUUGACGGUAUCUGACCAGAAAGCCACGGCUAACUACGUGCCAGCCGCUGC
rnacentral:rRNA from 1 species